UAGCAUAUCAAUAAGCGGAGGAAAAGAAACCAACAGGGAUUGCCCUAGUAACGGCGAGUGAAGCGGCAACAGCUCAAAUUUGAAAUCUGGCUCUCUUUGGGGGUCCGAGUUGUAAUUUGCAGAGGAUGCUUUGGCAUUGGCGGCGGUCUAAGUUCCUUGGAACAGGACAUCGCAGAGGGUGAGAAUCCCGUACGUGGGCGCCUGCCUUUGCCGUGUAAAGCUCCUUCGACGAGUCGAGUUGUUUGGGAAUGCAGCUCUAAAUGGGAGGUAAAUUUCUUCUAAAGCUAAAUACCGGCCAGAGACCGAUAGCGCACAAGUAGAGUGAUCGAAAGAUGAAAAGUACUUUGGAAAGAGAGUCAAAAAGCACGUGAAAUUGUUGAAAGGGAAGGGGUUGCAGCCAGACUUGCCCGCAGUUGCUCACCUAGGCUUUGGCCUGGGGCACUCUUCUGCGGGCAGGCCAGCAUCAGUUUGGGCGGUCGGACAAAGGCCUCUGUCAAGUAUCUCCCUUCGGGGUGACCUUAUAGGGGAGGCGUAAUGCGACCAGCCCGGACUGAGGUCCGCGCAUCUGCUAGGAUGCUGGCGUAAUGGCUGUAAGCGGCCCGUCUUGAAACACGGACCAAGGAGUCUAACAUCUAUGCGAGUGUUUGGGUGUCAAGCCCGGGCGCGCAAUGAAAGUGAACGGAGGUGGGAACCCUUUGGGUGCACCAUCGACCGAUCCUGAUGUCUUCGGAUGGAUUUGAGUAAGAGCAUAGCUGUUGGGACCCGAAAGAUGGUGAACUAUGCUUGAAUAGGGUGAAGCCAGAGGAAACUCUGGUGGAGGCUCGCAGCGGUUCUGACGUGCAAAUCGAUCGUCAAAUUUGGGCAUAGGGGCGAAAGACUAAUC
rnacentral:rRNA from 1 species